rnacentral:rRNA from 1 species
AGCUCCAAUAGCGUAUAUUAAAGUUGUUGCAGUUAAAAAGCUCGUAGUUGGAUUUCUGGUGUGGCGCGGCCGGCCCGCCGCCCUCUGGGCGUGUGAGUGUCGGUUCGCGUCUACCAUCCUUCUAGAGAGCGGCCCUGCCAUUCACUUGGUUGGGGUCGCGAUCUGGAUCUUUUACUUUGAAAAAAUUAGAGUGUUCAAAGCAGGCUUGCGCCACUGAAUACAUUAGCAUGGAAUAAUAAGAUAGGACUUUGGUUCUAUUUUGUUGGUUUCUAGGACUGAAGUAAUGAUUGAUAGGGAUAGUUGGGGGUGCUAGUAUUGAACGGCCAGAGGUGAAAUUCUUGGAUUCGUUCAAGACUAACUUAUGCGAAAGCAUUCACCAAGGAUGUCUUCU